AACCCCGGCGAGGGGAGUGAAAAAGAACCUGAAACCGUGUACGUACAAGCAGUGGGAGCCCCACCACCAAAGCAUUCUCUGGUGUUGAAGGCCCUGCAAAGCAGCAUCGCGGUGGCGGAGCGUCGUUUGCGACGCCCAACACACAAAACAAGCGGUGAAUGCUUUGGGGUGGGGUGACUGCGUACCUUUUGUAUAAUGGGUCAGCGACUUAUAUUCUGUAGCAAGGUUAACCGUAUAGGGGAGCCGUAGGGAAACCGAGUCUUAACCGGGCGUUAAGUUGCAGGGUAUAGACCCGAAACCCGGUGAUCUAGCCAUGGGCAGGUUGAAGGUUGGGUAACACUAACUGGAGGACCGAACCGACUAAUGUUGAAAAAUUAGCGGAUGACCUGUGGCUGGGGGUGAAAGGCCAAUCAAACCGGGAGAUAGCUGGUUCUCCCCGAAAGCUAUUUAGGUAGCGCCUCGUGAAUUCAUCUCCGGGGGUAGAGCACUGUUUCGGCUAGGGGGCCAUCCCGGCUUACCAACCCGAUGCAAACUGCGAAUACCGGAGAAUGUUAUCACGGGAGACACACGGCGGGUGCUAACGUCCGUCGUGAAGAGGGAAACAACCCAGACCGCCAGCUAAGGUCCCAAAGUCAUGGUUAAGUGGGAAACGAUGUGGGAAGGCCCAGACAGCCAGGAUGUUGGCUUAGAAGCAGCCAUCAUUUAAAGAAAGCGUAAUAGCUCACUGGUCGAGUCGGCCUGCGCGGAAGAUGUAACGGGGCUAAACCAU
rnacentral:rRNA from 1 species